UGUGGGCGAGGUGACACCAGGAGUAUAUAAAGAAUUUUUUGGGAUGUCGUCUCAUAACUUUUUCAUUCAUCCCCUGUUCAGCCCUUCUUUCCUUUACAUUACAGAACAACAAUGGCAGCAGCAGCUGGGUCCAGAAGCAGAGCAGGGACCGGAGGUCUCUACUUCCUCUUCACUCUGCUGUGUCUGGUUUGCCUCGCAAGUUCCCUGAUAGACCACAGAACACUGGAAGAGAUGAAGGAAAACCUUAAGAAAGCACAGCAAAACCUGAACAAUCUGAAGGAAGAAAAGGACAUCCCUUCACAGCUGAUGAGUGCUUAUUUGAUGACCAUGAAGCCAAUAUUGGCAUUAAUGAAGAGAACCUCAGAAGAUUUACCUGAUGGCUUUCCACCGCUGAAUGGUUUCAUGGAGAACAUCAAGGACUUCAUGGAGAAACUCAAGACCUUUGUAGAUAAGGAGAGUCUGAAGACGGAUGCA